rnacentral:ncRNA from 1 species
AAAGAUGGUGAACUAUGGCUGGGCAGGGCGAAGCCAGAGCAAACUCUGGUGGAGUGGUCCUGACAUGCAAAUGGUGGUCAUCCAACCUGGGUAUAGGGACGAAAGACUAAUCGAACCAUCUAGUAG